UGGGGAAUAUUGCACAAUGGGGGGAACCCUGAUGCAGCCAUGCCGCGUGAAUGAAGAAGGCCUUCGGGUUGUAAAGUUCUUUCGGUGACGAGGAAGGUUAGUAGGUUAAUAGCCUAUCAAAUUGACGUUAAUCACAGAAGAAGCACCGGCUAACUCCGUGCCAGCAGCCGCGGUAAUACGGGGGGUGCGAGCGUUAAUCGGAAUAACUGGGCGUAAAGGGCACGCAGGCGGUGACUUAAGUGAGAUGUGAAAGCCCCGAGCUUAACUUGGGAAUUGCAUUUCAUACUGGGUCGCUAGAGUACUUUAGGGAGGGGUAGAAUUCCACGUGUAGCGGUGAAAUGCGUAGAGAUGUGGAGGAAUACCGAAGGCGAAGGCAGCCCCUUGGGAAUGUACUGACGCUCAUGUGCGAAAGCGUGGGGAGCAAACAGGAUUAGAUACCCUGGUAGUCCACGCUGUAAACGAUGUCGAUUUGGGGAUUGGGCUUUGAGCUUGGUGCCCGUAGCUAACGUGAUAAAUCGACCGCCUGGGGAGUACGGCCGCAAGGUUA
rnacentral:rRNA from 1 species